GACGAACGCUGGCGGCGUGCUUAACACAUGCAAGUCGAACGGAAAGGCCCUGCUUUUGUGGGGUGCUCGAGUGGCGAACGGGUGAGUAACACGUGAGUAACCUGCCCUUGACUUUGGGAUAACUUCAGGAAACUGGGGCUGAUACCGGAUAGGAGCUCCUGCUGCAUGGUGGGGGUUGGAAAGUUUCGGCGGUUGGGGAUGGACUCGCGGCUUAUCAGCUUGUUGGUGGGGUAGUGGCUUACCAAGGCUUUGACGGGUAGCCGGCCUGAGAGGGUGACCGGCCACAUUGGGACUGAGAUACGGCCCAGACUGCUACGGGAGGCAGCAGUGGGGAAUAUUGCACAAUGGGCGGAAGCCUGAUGCAGCAACGCCGCGUGCGGGAUGACGGCCUUCGGGUUGUAAACCGCUUUCGCCUGUGACGAAGCGUGAGUGACGGUAAUGGGUAAAGAAGCACCGGCUAACUACGUG
rnacentral:rRNA from 1 species